UGAACCAAAAAGGGCAGCAGGAUAACACAGCCCAGACCCUGAAAAGAAGGAUUUCUGCUGCUAGGACUGAAACCACAGCAAAGGCUGUGUCCCCAAGGGACUGGAGGUUCACCUGCUGUCCUCUGCAGUCGCCUGCCUUGCUUUUCUUGGACUCAGCAUGAGAAGUGUUGCUUGGCCUCACAGCACUACAGAGUGGCCUUACAAGGAAUGCGUUUGCAGCUGUCAGGAAGCUGGUCACGGCGGCAUUACAGAUUUUAUUGAAGCUACAUCUCUGUGUGAAAACCACUGAGCCAUUUCGAAUGAAAUGAUUUCUGUUCAGUCAAAUCCAUAUUCAAAAUAACCUAUUUCCUCAAAUCAUCGGUGCUCCGGAUUUUGCUCUCCAGCUUCCGGUUCUCUGUCUCCAGGCUCCUGACUCUGUCCAGGUAGGAGGCCAGGCAGUCGUUCAGAAUUUGCAUGGUCUCCUUCUUGUUCUGGAUGCCUCCCAUUCCUGCCAGACCCCUGGCCAUCGCCACGGCCAGGCUCCCGACCCCCAUGUUGCUCCGGAAGCUGGCGGAGCACGUCACAGAGACGUGGGAACCAGAGCCCCCAGCGCCUGCAUAGACGCUGACAGCGCUGCUGACCGGCUGGGAGCCGGAGCUGGGCACCCGGACGGAGCCCAUGGACCGGUAGUUGGUGGAGAAGAUGGAGCGAGUGGUGAAGCUCAUGCUGCCCAGGGAGGAGAGCGAGAGGACAGGGCUCAGGCUUUGCUGACGACUGAGUCUCUCCUUUCUUAA
rnacentral:lncRNA from 13 species